rnacentral:lncRNA from 1 species
GCCGCUACUCAGACUUUAUGGACGGCCCCAGAGUCUGGGCAGAAAGUUGAUGAACCAGAGUUAUAUCAAAGAACAUGUUGUCUUCUUCAUCGUUCAUCGGAAGAUACCCCGAGAUUUGUUGAUAGAUAUUCCGUGUCAAAGUACUCCACGUCCUUCUUAAAUAAUACAUGAUGGUCGAGAGGUACAUAGUUUAAAUGUCCACGUCCUUCACAAAUAAUACAUGACGGUCGAGAGGUACAUAGUUUAUAUGUCCACGUCCUUCACAAAUAAUACAUGAUGGUCGAGAGGUACAUAGUUUAUAUGUCCACGUCCUUCACAAAUAAUACAUGAUGGUCGAGAGGUACAUAGUUUAUAUGUCCACGUCCUUCUUAAAUAAUACAUGAUGGUCGAGAGGUACAUAGUUUAUAUGUCCACGUCCUUCACAAAUAAUACAUGAUGGUCGAGAGGUACAUAGUUUAUAUGUCCACGUCCUUCA